rnacentral:rRNA from 1 species
UACGUAGGGGGCAAGCGUUGUCCGGAAUCAUUGGGCGUAAAGCGCGCGUAGGCGGCCCGGUAAGUCCGUUGUGAAAGUCAAAGGCUCAACCUUUGAACGCCGAUGGAUACUGCCGGGCUAGAGUCCAGUAGGGGAGUGUGGAAUUCCUGGUGUAGCGGUGAAAUGCGCAGAUAUCAGGAGGAACACCGGUGGCGAAGGCGGUUCUCUGGGAAUAUCCUGACGCUGAGGAGCGAAAGUGUGGGGAGCGAACAGG